rnacentral:rRNA from 1 species
GAUGAACGCUGACCGAAUGCUUAACACAUGCAAGUCAACUGGAAUUUGGGUUUUUAACUUAGGAUUGGGUGGCGGACGGGUGAGUAACGCGUAAAGAACUUGCCUCACAGCUAGGGACAACAUUUGGAAACGAAUGCUAAUACCUAAUAUUAUGAUAAUAGGGCAUCCUAUAAUUAUGAAAGAUAUAAGCGCUGUGAGAGAGCUUUGCGUCCCAUCAGCUAGUUGGCGAGGUAACGACUCACCAAGGCGAUGAUGGGUAGCCGGCCUGAGAGGGUGAUCGGCCACAAGGGGUCUGAGACACGGCCCUUACGCAUACUGGAGGCAGCAGUGGGGAAUAUCGGACAAUGGACCGAGAGUCUGAUCCAGCAAUUCUGUGGUCACGAUGAAGUUUUUCGGAAUGUAAAGUGCUUUCAGUUGGGAAGAAACAAAUGACGGUACCAACAGAAGAAGUGACGGCUAAAUACGUG